rnacentral:lncRNA from 1 species
GAUAAUCAUUUACUUGGUGAGUCAAUACAAACUUGGUGAAGAAUUGAGGAAUGACCGAUACAAGGUAUAAAAUGGAUAUUAGAAUUCCAUGAUGAAUAAAAAUAUCUGCUUGCUUAAUUGCCCUGGAAGUACUUAUUGAUACUUUUUUCACUCUUCUUAAUAAUUUGUAUAAAUACAUCUCAGUACUCCAGUUUGAAUCGUCUGAUAUGCAGAAUUUAUUUUGAUUUUCUCGGUGCAGGCUAUCAAUUUAACUGGAACAAACAGUAUGAUUCCCAUGGGACUCAUUUGAACUAUUUCUGAACCCUUUUUAUUACACGAACCGUGCCAGUGCUAUCUGGCAACAUCCCCUUAUUUAUGUUUCAUAAAAAAAACAUCCCCUUAUUUAUUCCUCAGAGUUAGUACAUUAUUCAGGUUCAGGAUUUGGACGCGCACAUGCGUCUUGCACGGCGCGCCGACUCACUCUUACCCUAGU